UUACCAAGACUGAAUUUAAAUAUGAAAUUAAUCGAUGAAAUAAACUGCCUCAAUUAAUUUCAGCUUUUGAAAAGGAUCAUUCAUAACUCUAAACCUGCCUUACUGAAAAUAACUAUGAUCUCCGAGAAAUUUACACAAAGACGAUGGAUUGAAAAGAAAGAAACCUGAAAGAAUUUUGAAAAAGGAUCACUUAUGAAUUUUUGCACAAAACCUUAACAUGUAUUCCAGGUGUCCUUUGAAUGAAUACAAAAAAAAAGAAAAGACGAACAAGUUAAUAGGUUAGAAAAGCUCACGUAAGGAAUUUACAAAGCUUCGUAAAACCUACGUAUGUAAUCCCGCCCAUCUCGGCUUACAAACUUUCAACCGUUUUUCGAUAGAUGACUGCAGCUUUCGAAAUUUAUUUUCGAUCAAAAAUGUCAGUUUUCGAGCCAAAUUCUCGUAAUUUGCGGGAAAAGUUGAUUUUCUGCUUUAUUGAAGAAAAAAAAACUGCGACUAAAUAUCAAGAUUAUGCUCUGCAUUUGAGGGGACCACCUGGGUGAGAUGUAUUAAGAGGCUUUUUAAAAAAAAUAAUUUUGACCAGAGUUUCUUUUAUCAAAUCUAGCCCUACCAUCAAUAAAAUAAAUCAUACAAUUCUAACGGCACUCAAAUCUAGACUAAUUCUACACUAAUCACAUUAUAAUCAUACCUGGAUUUUUGAAUCCAACAUUUUGAACCACUAUUUCGAAGACGCGGGGAUUAAACUCGUAACAAAUAUUUAAUCCAGUGGAUUUUUAUUAUUUUGUGUUAAAUGGGAUUACACAAAUUUGGAGUCAUUAAAGUAGUGAAGUGUAGUGACUUGUAGUUAUUUCUAUGGAUUUUUUUUUUAAAUCUAAUCUAAACGAGUGACAUAUUAUUUUUAAUAAUAGCCUGUUUCGAUUAUAGCCCAAACGAAAUGAUUUCGCAAAUGAUCUCAUUUCGAUUUUUUUAAAUUUCAAAUAGUCAAGUAAGUUUGUGGUUGCAUUCGCAACGCAGGCUUUUUUGUACAAAAAAUAAAUCAUCAAUUUGACCUUAAGUUGAAAAAACAAUUCAAAUAAUAUGCUCCCAAACGUUUCUUUUUUUAAUGAUUUCAUAUUACAUCAGGCACUACCAGCAUGACAGGAAUUUUUUUAUGAAAUUUUUAUAUAAGCGCCGAACCACUUGUAUUAUAAUUUAUACCUACGGUGACCAUAUUUUUAGGAACAAAACC